AUUGAACGCUGGCGGCAGGCCUAACACAUGCAAGUCGAACGAGUGGCGGACGGGUGGGUAAUGUCUGGGAAACUGCCCGAUGGAGGGGGAUAACUACUGGAAACGGUAGCUAAUACCGCAUACCAUCGGAUGUGCCCAGAUGGGAUUAGCUUGUAGGUGAGGUAACGGCUCACCUAGGCGACGAUCCCUAGCUGGUCUGCGAGGAUGACCAGCCACACUGGAAGUGAUACACGGGCCACACUCCUCUGGUAGGCAUCAGUGGGGAAUAUUGCACAAUGGGCGCAAGCCUGAUGCAGCCAUGCCGCGGGGAUUAGGAAGGCCUUCGGGUUGUAAAGUCCUUGCAGCGGGGAGGCGUUACCCGCAGAAGAAGCACCGGUUAACUCCGUGCCAGCAGCCGCGGUAAUUC
rnacentral:rRNA from 1 species